UGGGCCUCCUACACAGCAAUAUUGCUCCAUUGUUUGUCCUCUCUGCACUUUAGUUUGGGGCCUUAAAACAUGUCCUACUGUGUGGAAGCUCGAAAGGGAAGUUCAGAUGUGGUACUUAUAAAUCACUGUUUCGCGGUGUGCUGCUGGGAUUAACCGUGAAAGGCUUGUCAUCUGAGAGCCGUUUGGACUCGACAACUUCAUGGUCGUCGCUCAAGCAUAGUCGCUCACGCUGAACUAAACCAAAUAUGCCAGUGAACCUCAGCUUCCCAUGCAGCAACUGACACAGUGCUUGGCCUGUUGUCAGAGCUGCGUUUGGACCUGGAUCGUCACACCCUGCUGUUCGGCAAGAGCAUUCUGAAUGACGGCGGCUGCCAUCGUCCUGACACUGUUUCAGAGGCACUAUGGCUUUGACACGUCCAUAGAAAUGAGGCGCAGACUCCUUCACCGUCUUGGUUCUGGGGGGUACAACUGAACCGAUCCUAGACAUCAGGAGUCGGUCGUACACAUGCUCCAAGUAGUCAGACCUCGGAGGUCAAUGGUCAAGUCUCGUCACUGGAUGUCACAUAACUGCUUCACACUCCUGGUAAUGUACAUUUUCACAUUGUCUUUACAUCUCUAAGGAUACUUAAAGAACAGAGUUUUUGUGAAAGAAGUCAAAGUGGAUGCAGCUCAUUUAUUUCUGUCCAAAUCAAUCAUUUUAUUAUUUUUUAUUACACCCAUGUUGAGAACUGAUAUGCAGCGAUUUGAAUAUCCUAGCACAGAUGACAUCUCUCUCCCUCUCUUCAUUAUCCAUGGGUAAUGGUUUCACCCAGGCAUGUCAAAACCCAUCAGCUACAUGGAAAUAUCCAUUGCAGGAAGUAGCCAGUCCAAUAUUAUAGAUGUCCACGCACACACACUAGAAAUGAUGAUUUCUUUCCUUUGUCUCUUGAUCAAAUGACACUGAGACAUAACAUGUGUACAGUAUUUUAUAUUAUGUGCUGUGAUGUUAGCAUUGUUGUACAACAAGAAGGCCAUAGGUUAGUAAACAGAAGAAAAAAAAAAAGAUAUACAGCACAGACAAAAGCAAAGUGCUUAUACAUGCCUGUCAUAUAUGACCUCCCCAAAAAGUUACACAUCUGAAAAAGGAAAAGAAAACAGAAAAAGAUACGCUCAUAU